AGAUUAAACUGAAGAGUUUGAUCCUGGCUCAGAUUGAACGCUGGCGGCAUGCCUUACACAUGCAAGUCGAACGGCAGCACGGACUUCGGUCUGGUGGCGAGUGGCGAACGGGUGAGUAAUAUAUCGGAACAUACCCUAGAGUGGGGGAUAACGUAGCGAAAGUUACGCUAAUACCGCAUACGAACUAAGGUUGAAAGUGGGGGAUCUUCGGACC
rnacentral:rRNA from 1 species